ACGACCAUAUCACGUUGAAACACCUAGUUACGUACAAUCACCGAAGUUAAGCAAAGUCGAGCUUGGCUAGAACUCAAAUAGGUGAGCGUUUGGGAAUACCAGGUGCU